CUCCCCCAGAAUUAGGCUCUAGUCUCUCCCUCCCCCAGAAUUAGGUUCUAGUCUCUCCCUCCCCCAGAAUUAGGCUCUAGUCUCUCCCUCCCCCAGAAUUAGGCUCUAGUCUCUCCCUCCCCCAGAAUUAGGCUCUAGUCUCUCCCUCCCCCAGAAUUAGGUUCUAGUCUCUCCCUCCCCCAGAAUUAGGCUCUAGUCUCUCACUCCCCCAGAAUUAGGCUCUAGUCUCUCCCUCCCCCAGAAUUAGGUUCUAGUCUCUCCCUCCCCCAGAAUUAGGCUCUAGUCUCUCCCUCCCCCAGAAUUAGGCUCUAGUCUCUCACUCCCCCAGAAUUAGGCUCUAGUCUCUCACUCCCCCAGAAUUAGGCUCUAGUCUCUCACUCCCCCAGACUCACCAGUCUCUCUAGCCUUGUGCUCAUC